UAGUGACACGCUUUCAACUUACUACCAAAAUCGAAAUUGUUUUACAUUAUUUCAAUUGUUCACAUUUAAGGAAAACACCCAUCGAGAUUUAGCAACGUUUGUGUUUAGAAUGAUGCUGCUUUGCACUGGGAUCUUCAGCUGUUCACCUUAUUACUCUCGCUAAGACCUACACAGAAGCAAAGACCUAUUGCAGAGAGAUCUACACUGAUUUAGCUACAGUUCACAGCUCCACAGAUAUGGAUAAUUUGAUAACUUUAGUUCCAAGUACCAUUCCCAGAGCCUGGAUAGGUCUGGAGGCUGGAGAUGAGUGGAUGUGGCAUUGGUCCUGGCCUGAUUAAAUACUGGAUUUUCACCAGUAAAGAAUAAAGAUGUAUAUGCAGCAAUGGAUCAACACAGCAAGUGGAUUGAAAGUGACUAUGGAACUAAGAGAAGUUGUGUUUGUCAUGGAAACCUGAAAAAUAAGACAUGGAUUGAAGCUUUGAGUUACUGCAGGGAGCACCAUUUUGACCUUGUCCACAUUACCACCACAGACAUUCAAGGGAAGGUGGCUGAAAUGGCAAAGAACACCACAUCAUCCCAUGUUUGGCUAGGUCUACGGUAUACUUGUAAAUUUAACUUUUGGUUCUGGACUAAGUCAACUCCUGGCUGUUACCAGAACUGGGCCCCCAAACAAGGAUCUGAAGGGAAAUACAACUGUGGUGUUACAGUUGCCAUUGAGGCCACUGGGAGGCAGCAGUGGGUAGGCUUGCCUGAGACAGAGAAACUGAAUUUCAUCUGCUGCGCAUGCACUGGAUGAGUGUCAGUGUCACUUCAGAUGACAAUGUUGUUGACCAGCUUUUAUAAUGAGUUAUGGACACAUGAUAUUGUUCUGGUUAUACAUGCUUUGCUGUUUCAAAAU